UGUAUGCAUUUUGGGUUUUUCUUUAUGCUUCCCUUGACAACUUUGUAAUAGGAUUUCUAUUGUUAUUUAUCAAGUUCAAGUUUAGAUUGAGAAUAGUUUCUCUAGGUGUUCUUAACUAAUAACUUUCCUAUGGAGGUUCAACCAAAUUGGCAAAGGUAAAUUGUGCAUUGCAUAACAUUGCAUUAUACUGUUUUCAUAAAAUGAUGACUAGUCAUCUGUUUCUUGUAUGACUAGUCAUCCUUGCUAUGUAGGAUUUCCAGCUUGAUAACCAACUUUUUUGUCCUAUUCUUUUUUCUCUCUUUGCUGCCACGUGGGAUUCUGACCUAAGGGAAUUUUUGUCUGUAAAGGCCUUGCGAUUCCUCUUUGAGAAGCCGUCUCUUUUGUGUGGAUUUUUAGGAAAGGUUGGCUUGCCAUCUUUCUGUUCUUCUUCCUCAAGAGAGAACAAUAUUUCAUCUAUGAGUUUUUCCAAAUUGAUUUCUUUCUGAAAAAACUGCAUUUGAAAUACGAAUUUGCAUCUAGCUUCAUAAAACAUUCUCUCAUUUAUAUUUAGGUCAGAUUCACGACUGAUUUCUUCAAGAGUAUGGUUUCUUGAAGAAAUUGGUCAUUCUCCUUUGAACCCAAAUUUUGGUUUCUGUUUGAGUUGAGCUUGCAAGCUGGUGCCAUAGGAUGAAUGAGCUGGAGAAGGAGCUGUCAUUGCCAUGAAGACUUGAGCUUCAAGCUUUGCUAAGUUGGAGAAGAAGAUUGCACAAAGGAGAUCUACUUCGGAUAUGUGUGGUUUACCUUUCCUUUGAUUUUGCCCCACAAAACUGGUGUUUUGGCAUAUCUGCUGUCCUAGAUACUCCAUUUUUUGGUUUCAUGGUCGUCGACAGGUUGUGGUUGUGUGUGCCCCGUGUUGGUUUGUGGCUAUUAUGGAAUGCAAGGAACGGAGUACUUUUUAGUUUUGAAUCAAUGCCUGCAAAGAGAAGUUUUAUAUGUGCAAAACUAUGAUGCUGAAUUUCAACAGACCAAUUUGUUUCAUCAUAGGAGGCCUUCUUUGUCAGUUCAUGUGAGUUUGACUCUUUUGUUAAUCGAAAGUAUGGGUGGUACUCUUUUCUC